rnacentral:rRNA from 1 species
AUUGAACGCUGGCGGCAGGCCUAACACAUGCAAGUCGAACGAGUGGCGGACGGGUGAGUAAUGUCUGGGAAACUGCCCGAUGGGGGGGGAUAACUACUGGAAACGGUAGCUAAUACCGCAUACCAUCGGAUGUGCACAGAUGGGAUUAGCUCGUGGGGGGGGUAAAGGCUCACCUAGGCGACGAUCUCUAGCUGGUAGGAGAGGAUGACCAGACACACUGGAACUGAGACACGGUCCAGACUCCGACGGUAGGCAGCAGUGGGGAUUAUUGCACAAUGGGCGCAAGUCUGAUGCAGCCAUGCCGCGUGUAUGAAGGAGGCCUGCGGGUUGUAAAGUACUUUCAGCGAGGAGGCGUUACUCGCAGAAUAAGCACCGGCUAACUCCGUGCCAGCAGCCGCGGUAAUAC